CCCUAGUUGUCCAUCGAGUAUUCUAUGGUUUUCACGUUCUUAUUUCCAAUGUCAUGUUCUCUACGCAAUUUGGAGUUAUCAACCAAGUUCACAUGCAUAUAUAAUCUCACAAUGCUAAUCAUGCAUUAUAAUCUCACAAAUCAUUUAUAUGCAUCUACUUAGCAUUUUUACUUAUGUCAUCAACAUGCAUUUCAUUCUAUGCAUUAUGCUUACAUGCUUUCUUCGAGUUUACAUGCAUAUAUAACCUUUUAUAUGCACCUACUUUAGCAUUUACAUAUCAUUAUUAUCAUGCUUUACAUUAUUAUCAUGCAUUACUAGUAUUAUGUAAAUUGCUCACUAUGCAUUUCUACUUAGCAUUUACAUUAACAUGCAUAAUUAUCAUGCAUUACUAGUAUUAUGUAAAUUGCUCACUAUGCAUUUCUACUUAGCAUUUACAUUAACAUGCAUAAUUAUCAUGCAUUACACCAUUAUCACACAUUAUUUCACACUUAUAUGCAUCAACACAAAUUCUUAACUUGCUUAGAUAUAAAGGCGACCUAGUCGCUUCAGUAAG
rnacentral:lncRNA from 1 species